rnacentral:rRNA from 1 species
CCCUUAUUAUGCAAGCGUUAUCCGGAGUUACUGGGCGUAAAGCGCAUGUAGGCGGUUGGGUAAGUGGCGUGUGAAAGCUCCCGGCUAAACUGGGAGACGACAGGUCAGACUGCCGAACUGGAGUCCGAUAGAGGAGCGUAGAAUUCCGGGUGUAGCGGUGAAAUGUGUAGAGAUCCGGAGGAAUACCAGUGGCGCAAGCGGCGCUCUGGGUCGGGACUGACGCUGAGAUGCGAAAGCGUGGGGAGCGAACGGG